AGAGUUUGAUUCUGGCUCAGAACUAACGCUGGCGGCGCGUCUUAAACAUGCAAGUCGAACGGUAGUCCUUGAGCUUGCUUAGGGAUGAGAGUGGCGAACGGGUGAGUAACACGUGGAUAAUCUGCCUCCGGGUUGGGGAUAACUGUCCGAAAGGACAGCUAAUACCGAAUGAGAUGGUGGUUACAUAAGUAGCAGCCAUUAAAGGUGGGGACCGCAAGGCCUACUGCCUGGAGAUGAGUCCGCGGCUGAUUAGCUUGUUGGUGGGGUAACGGCCUACCAAGGCGACGAUCAGUAGCCGGCCUGAGAGGGUGAACGGCCACAUUGGGACUGAGAUACGGCCCAGACUCCUACGGGAGGCAGCAGUGGGGAAUAUUGGACAAUG
rnacentral:rRNA from 1 species